UCAGCCCCAAAAUCAGGACACACCCGAUCCCUCCCCUUUUCUCUUCUUCUUUCGCCGUUUCUGGUUUUCCGGCGAAUUUGUCGCCGUCCGGCCACCUCAGGACGAACCGCUUGGCAUGGCAUGAUCCUCUCUUCCUUCUCUUCCUAGUCAUGUACGUUUUUCACCUUGGGUUUCAUUGGUUUUUGAGUCUCGAAGAGAAUUGCAAAAAUGGGGAAAAACUGGAGUUUGGCUCCGAUCUCAGUUUACCGGCGGUUUCCGGCCGGAUUUCUUUGGGUUUUGGUUGUUGGUGAGGUGCUGAACGUGUUCCUAAUCUUGUUGCAGCUUGUUUUGGCCGGUGAAGGAAGAAUUGAAGGUGAUUGGGGCGUGAACAGUAGUAUGAACAAUAACCGAAGAAACUCUUGAUUUUGGGGUUGAUUUUCCGACCACUUUUGCUUGAAAUUGGCUGCUGUUGCAGGGGUAAAUAUUGUUGGGCUUGUUGUGGAGAUUGUAUAGGACGUACUGAGCCGUCGAGCGAGGAGGACACUGGCAGGCAGCAGGAUUAGCUGCGAGACUCACCUGCCCUUCGUUUUUCAAAUGCCCAGAUUUCAGAUUUGCCGAGAUCGCGUCCGGGAACUUGAGGCAUAGGAAUCAGCGCUUCUGUUUUGUCUGUAGGUUAUUACUUAACCUACCUUGUAUGAUAUCGGCUUAGUUAUGUAGAAUUGCUCUGAGAAUCCUUUUAAAUUCGGAGAAUGCUUUUGCUUGAGAAUUUGUUAUCGUGUUGAAGUUG